rnacentral:rRNA from 1 species
AGUUGGCGGGGUAACGGCCCACCAAACCGACGAUGGAUAGGGGUUCUGAGAGGAAGGUCCCCCACAUUGGUACUGAGACACGGACCAAACUCCUACGGGAGGCAGCAGUGAGGAAUAUUGGUCAAUGGCCGAGAGGCUGAACCAGCCAAGUCGCGUGAAGGAAGAAGGAUCUAUGGUUUGUAAACUUCUUUUAUAGGGGAAUAAAGUGGAGGACGUGUCCUUUUUUGUAUGUACCCUAUGAAUAAGCAUCGGCUAACUCCGUGCCAGCAGCCGCGGUAAUACGGAGGAUGCGAGCGUUAUCCGGAUUUAUUGGGUUUAAAGGGUGCGUAGGUGGUGAUUUAAGUCAGCGGUGAAAGUUUGUGGCUCAACCAUAAAAUUGCCGUUGAAACUGGGUUACUUGAGUGCGUUUGAGGUAGGCGGAAUGCGUGGUGUAGCGGUGAAAUGCAUAGAUAUCACGCAGAACUCCGAUUGCGAAGGCAGCUUACUAAACCAUAACUGACA